rnacentral:rRNA from 1 species
UGGGGAAUAUUGGACAAUGGGGGCAACCCUGAUCCAGCAAUUCUGUGUGCACGAUGAAGGUUUUCGGAUUGUAAAGUGCUUUCAGCAGGGAAGAAAAAAUGACGGUACCUGCAGAAGAAGCGACGGCUAAAUACGUGCCAGCAGCCGCGGUAAUACGUAUGUCGCAAGCGUUAUCCGGAAUUAUUGGGCAUAAAGGGCAUCUAGGCGGCCAGAUAAGUCUGGGGUGAAAACUUGCGGCUCAACCGCAAGCCUGCCCUGGAAACUAUGUGGCUAGAGUACUGGAGAGGUGGACGGAACUGCACGAGUAGAGGUGAAAUUCGUAGAUAUGUGCAGGAAUGCCGAUGAUGAAGAUAGUUCACUGGACGGUAACUGACGCUGAAGUGCGAAAGCUAGGGGAGCGAACAGGAUUAGAUACCCUGGUAGUCCUAGCUGUAAACGAUGAUUACUGGGUGUGGGCAUGAAGAGUGUCCGUGCCGAAGCUAAUGCGAUAAGUAAUCCGCCUGGGGAGUACGGCCGCAAGGCUG